rnacentral:rRNA from 1 species
UAAGGGAUAUUGGUCAAUGGAGGCAACUCUGAACCAGCCAUGCCGCGUGCAGGAAGACAGCCCUAUGGGUCGUAAACUGCUUUUAUACCGGAAUAAACCUCUUUACGUGUAAAGAGUUGAAUGUACGGUAGGAAUAAGGAUCGGCUAACUCCGUGCCAGCAGCCGCGGUAAUACGGAGGAUCCAAGCGUUAUCCNGAUUUAUUGGGUUUAAAGGGUGCGUAGGCGGCCUGGUAAGUCAGGGGUGAAAGACGGUGGCUCAACCAUCGCAGUGCCUUUGAUACUGACGGGCUUGAAUGCAGCUGAGGUAGGCGGAAUGUGACAAGUAGCGGUGAAAUGCAUAGAUAUGUCACAGAACACCAAUUGCGAAGGCAGCUUACUAAAGUGUGAUUGACGCUGAGGCACGAAAGCGUGGGGAUCAAACAGGAUUAGAUACCCUGGUAGUCCACGCCCUAAACGAUGAAUACUCGAUGUUAGCGAUAUACUGUUAGCGUCCAAGCGAAAGCGUUAAGUAUUCCACCUAGGGAGCACGCCCGCAAGGGUG